GCCCUCUGCGCCUCGGAGCAAUCAGCAAGAGCCUUGACAAGUGCUGCCAUAAGGAUCUGACUAUCUGGCUUUUUUGAAUGAUUCCUGAAGGCUGCGAUUCAAUGUCUCCAUGUAAUGGAAUUGAUUUCCUUCAGUUAAGUUGGUUUCUCCCUUGGUUUUCCGUGAUGGCUUUAACCUGCAGCGCCAUGAGCAGGCAAUCUGAAGGCUGUGGUUGGUGACUCAUGCCAUUAGUUUUGCCUCUGGCAUUGCUACGGAAAAUCCAUUUCCGUCCAAACUGAAGCUGUCUGUUGAGCGUUAUGUAGUGUGCUGCCUUCGUUUUCUUUUCAAUGAAAAGCUCUUCCAUCUAGAAAUACACGUUCAGACUCUUGCAUUCCAGGUUUCCCCUGGCAAUCCUGGCAUUGGAUCUUGUGAAGGAAACACCUGGCCCUUGGACUACACAAAGUCUAACAUCAGAGGCGCCAAUCAGCACUGUGAUGUUAUGCAUUCCAAAAGCUGAAAGCGUCUGGCGAAUGAAGCAAGAAACUGCACAAAGGGAAAGUCUGGUGAUUCAGUCAGCUGCUCCAUGCCCAGAGAAGUGGCCUACGGCCCUGCCCUUCCCACAGCACUCUCCAUUCCUCAUGCUGGUGGCCAGCCAUCUACUACAGACAUUACUGAAGAGCAGUACUUGCAUCGUCGCCUUUAGGCAACUGAAAAGUAUGACUGACAUAAAAAUCCAGAGCUUUCAAAUCCAGAGGCCCUCAUUGCUGGUAGAAACAAGAGAGGGAAAUAUAUUCAUAUUCUAGACAGGCACUAGAGAGAGGUUCUCUGCUUGAAACUGGACUAAAUCUACAGCUUCAUACAUCGACAUGAAGGGAGGAGUAACUCAGCACUUCUCUCUCCAGCAUCACAAGGCUCUGAAGGUACUGCCUUUGACAGACUUUUUUUCUCUGAGUGGAUGAGUUAUUGAUCAAGUAAGAGAUAAAAAAAAUAGGCACUUACUUUGUGCCACAUUGCUCUGAUCAGUGAUAGAAGCUCACUGCUGGAUACCGAUCUUAAUACAAUCUCAUGAACUCAGCAGAUCCUUUUCCUUAGUCUGCACUAAUGUCAUAUUAAGUGUCUUUGUGUUUUUUACCAUAUUAAGCAUUUCUGAAACUUGAAGAUUGAUUUUGGUUUGAUUUUAAAGGGCUGAGAGAUUUUAGAAUUAGAUUUUAAUAGCCAAUUAUAGAUUAUUAAACAGUGGAAAAAAUUUAAAGCCAUUAAAAUAAUCUUUUAAACCUUCCUUAAAAUUACAUGCGAUCCACUGAGAAUAUUCGUCCAGCUGUAUUUGAAAAAUAUUAAUUGGAAGUCAGUGCAAAUAUAAAUGCUAAUGUGAACUUAACCAGAACGUGAGGGUUUCUGAACUGGAAAAGCUCUCAGAGCACACAGAAGUCACCUGUCAAGGUGGUUUUGGGACAACCAUAUGUACUAUGGGAUGACGGAGGGCAAAAAUUACGGAGGGCCACUAUGUGACUAAUUCUGCUUACUUCUAUUUUGUUUGUUUGAACAUCAGAAAUUCCUCACACGUAUCCUGUGUCUUCCAGUGAUUUGUUACACCUCUGUAAAAUACUGAUUUCAUUCCUAAGGGUGUUUCUGCCUUUAAAGAGCAGUAUCUGUCUGGCUCAGUUGGCAGUGCUGACCGGAAUAAAAACAAACAAACAACAAAAAACAAAAAUAAAUGAACAAAUAAAUGAAAAACAUCCCUGAUCAAAUAUCAGUAACUGUUACAGAACAGGAACUAAAAGAGGGGCGAUUUAGGUUAGAUGUUAGGAGGAAAUGCUUUCCCCAGAGGGCAGUGAGGUGCUGACACAGCUGCCCAGAGAAGCUGUGGUGCCCCAUCCCUGGAGGCGCUCAAGGCCAGGUUGGAUGGGGCCCUGGGCAGCCUGAGCUGGUGGGGGGCAGCCCUGCCCACGAUAGGGUUUGGAGUAGGGUGGGCUGUGAGGUUCCUUCCAACCCAAAUCAUUCUGUAAUUCUAUGAUUAUGAAUGUUACAUUUCAAUUAAUGUUAUCAUAACAAUGCUAUGGAUAUGAUUUUUCUUAUCUCAGCUUGCUGGGGAAUAGUGUAAAGAAUUUUCUGAAUGGGUAUAGCCUUUGGGGUGCCUGAGAUAAAGUAUUUUCACACACAUCCACCCCAUGUGAAACGUGCAGAAAGCCAAAAUAAACCACUGAAUUGGAUUUUGCCUUCGCUUCAGGAAGGACAGAAUAGUAGGGACUAUUUCUCAUACUUGAUCGCUAAUUUGUUGGCCAGUCAUCGUGGCAAUUAAGGAAAAAUGAUCACCUCAGUCCAAGCUGAGUGAAAUAAAGGGGAGAUUUCUUGUUAUGGCUGGGAAAAUCACAGAAAGCGUCACAGAAAUACGGAAGGAGCUAUGAUGGAUAUGCAUGGAGAAGACAGAGAACAAAUGCAGCAAAUAGGAAGCAUCAACUACUGAUAUGACAGAGAUUCAGAAUCACAGAAUGUCUUAGGUUGGGAGGGACAUCAAAGCCUACCCAGUCCCAACCCCUGCUGUGAACAGGGCUGCCCUCCACCAGCUCAGACUGCCCAGGGCCCCAUCCAACUUGGCCUUGAGCACCUCCAGGGAUGGGGCACCACAGCUUCUCUGGGCAAAUGAGAGGUAAUGUUCCCAAAAUGACUAGAUAAAGAUCUUUGCCAUAUUUAUUGUGGAUGACAAAACAAUUGGAUUAAUUCAAUAGAGAAAAUCCCACAGGAGCUGUUAAGUACAAGGAUAUCAGCUCUGGGUUGGACCAUCCUUUGCUGGAGAUUGGAAGACAGUUGUUGAAAAAUGUCGCUGUAGGUCUGAUUUGUUCUUCUAUGGGAAACUGCCAGCAGCCACAGUUAGGAACGUGGUGCUGGGCUGGAUGAAUGUUGGUUUGACUUGCUACAGUCGAUCUCACAGAGUUUUCAUAGCAUGUUUCCAGUACCACAAUCACAAUGUUCACUGCAAGCGUUAUUCUCCUAUUACUGAACUGGAACGUAUAUUUACUGGUGUGCAUGCAAAUGGGAAUGUUUCUCUAGAAGAAGAAUGGAGGAGAUUGUGGGAGGUGGUUUUGUGUUGUUUACUUCCCUCAGAGUAUGCAGCGCCACAGACAAUACAUCUUUGGAUGGAAAUAAAAAAAUGUGCUUUUGUAAAACAAAAUUGGGUAUAUUCUGCACAGCAAACAUCUUGUGCUGAAAUAAAUAUCUCUUGGGUGAUGUCAGUAUGAGAACAAGCACCACAGUGUUGUUGAAGUACUACUGGGAGUCACUGAGCAAAUGUGCCGGCGAACACUGCAGAAGCCUAUAUAUGGUAAUUUAUCUAAAAAUCUCCCUAUUUCUGUUUUUAAAAAGUUUUAUGCAGGAGAAUGAAUGUCUACCAUCUUUCAAGGCAGCACAAGACAUGCACCAGCCCUCAGACCCCACAGCCUUCCAGCAAGCGCUCCAACAGCGAGAUGGGGCCUCCCUCCCAUGGACAGGAGGGGAGGCAAAACCAGGACCUGCUGGGGCCGAGAUGUUGGGUCUGUGGCUGACAGGUGUAUUAAAGCAUGCUGGCAUGAAAUGUCAGUUUUUCUUCUAGUGAAUAAACAGUUUCUUUCUUUAUGGUAACUGGUGACAGUGACAGAAGUAGCACAAAACUAUUAUUGCAGACACUGAAGCUAGGAUAGUAUGGGCUAAAUAUAGUACUAUAUGCCUAAGGUUAUAAUCUCGUGGAGUUGAAAUGUAUUUCACAUGCUUGAGUUUACAGUGUUCUCUGCUUGCAUCAACGCAGGUUCUCCCUUGCACUUCACCACCUCCUCCUCUCACCCUUGGGCCCUCUAGCUCUCCGAACUCCAUUUUGUUCUGGGCACAUGACAAGUCUGAGCUCAGACUGAGACUGUUUCUCAACGUUUUUUUUUUUUAAUAAGAAUUAAUAGCAGCAUGAAUAAUGAGGCAGAAGGAAUAACGUGCCAGUAUACAAUCAUGCUGCAAAUGGUUCAAACCAUUAAACCAUUUUAGGUCCUCUGUGGCCAAUUGCUGGGACCUGGACGGAGGAGGAAAAAACAAUCGCAUUCUGCCAGAAGUUGUUAAAUUCCUGCGAGCGAAUGCGGUCCUGACUUAAUUAUCACUUCCAAGAGCCUAUUUAUAGUUGUCUGGGAAAGCACUUAAGAGAAAUAGGCUUAAGUUUGCAAACAGAGUAAGUGGGUGAGUAUUCCCAGCAAAGACAGAGAGGGGAGAGGCAACCCCCUGCCCUUCCAGUCCUCCUAGUGGGAUGUCAGCGCAGGAAUUCCAUGCUGAUGGGACCAGCUCCUUGGCUCACCAAGUUCCUACAUGGAAUUUUAGAGAUUCGAAAUCAUAAAUGUUGCACAACUUACUGAUGAGCUUCAAACUUGGAAGUUUCCUGGGACAGAACAGCCCCUAGGAUGGCAUACAAAGCAUUUCUUGGGUCUCCAGGACAAACAUAUACAUAUAUAUAUAUAUAUAUAUAUAAAGCUUCACAUAAUUAUAAACAUCCAAAAUGCUUUGAUAGAUGACAUGCUAAAUCUGUACAUGUAAAUGGUUAGCAGGCUGGGGCUGCAGUAUGAAUAACUGAAUUUGUCCAGGGAAACAUGGCCAGUGGGAUUUCCUGAGUACAAGAACUUACACUGGUCUCAGCAAGCAAAUACUGACAGCUGAUAAAUAAGCACAGAGAAAUGGUAUAUGGGAAUGGUAUAUGGGAACGAGGAAGAGAAAUUUACAUUGCCUUUAUCCCAGGCCUUUUGGAGACAAAUGAGUAGGUGCUAUGAAAUGGAGAGUCAGAGCGGGACGUGAAAGCUGCCUGUAAGCAGGCCUGCACAUGCAGAGGAAUUGAUUUAUAGUCAAAUCCAUUGCUACAGUUAUUUAAUACCUAACUACUGCCUAUUUCAUAAUUUCUCUGCUUGUAGCUGAUAAACUCUUAUUAAGCUGUGAAGCAUGGAGGAGUAGCAUAUCUUACUGUUUCUACGUAACGUGGUAUCUUUACAAUGUUCCAUUCAAUAACUCUACCUGUAUAAUGUGUACUAAAUCAAUUUGGUCAUGCCAUGGAAUUUCAAAUUUGCAGUACAAAAGCACAUUACAUACGUAUUUCAGUGUUUUAUGGGCAUAAUUGUGUGUGAACAAAUAGCUACAUAUACAUUUUAUUGCACCAAGUAUCUUAAGCACUUAAUUUGCACUCAUGCAAAGGCUAACUACAGCCUCAACCCUUGAACUAACAACUCUGGAAGGGACUGUUCUCUCCCUGUCUCCUACAUUACCUGCAUGUUCCACAGGUCAGCUUUAUUUGGCAGAAGUUGUUCCUGCAACCCAUCUACUCAUAUAGCGCGUUAUGGCGGUGCAGCUCUUGGGCCUUUUAAUGUUAUUUCCCUACCAGAAAGUGAAGCACCAAAUAACAGCCUGUUGUUAUUUCUUUGUCUGUAUGUGGACUACUGACCCAGAAAGCUGUAACUAUAGAUCUUCCCAGUUCCAUUUAACUGGAAUAACCACAAGGAAAAGAAGAGAGGAGAAAAAUAUCAAUGACUGCAAAAACCAAUCAAACUACUGCUCCUUUUCUCAGAUGGUCUUGUUUUUAUUGGAGGAAUAAGCCUUCUCUUAAAUUAACACCUCCUGAUAAAAUACCGUUGUUUGUGGAAUCUUUCAGUAAGACUCCAUGUGAGAUUCAGACUUAUCCCCUAUUUUUGCCACUGAUAUUAGAUUUUCAGUCUAUCUACUCCCUGUGUGGAAAUACCCUGCCCCAAGAACACCUUACCACAUCUGUUGAGUGUGCAGGGCCACUUGCCUCCUUCCCCUGUACGUACACACAGCUCCCUCCUCUGUCACACCCAGUGACUUUACAUUUCUGCUUUGCUUCUCAGCACCCUUCACAUCUGGACUUGGGCCAGAGGACAAUCACUGACAGACCUUCUGCUUCUGGAGCAAAUAAGGGUUUGUGGUUUUGGUUGGACUAAAGAGAUUUUCAGAACAUUUUAUUUCCUUUAUAGUGGGUGACUGUUGAUAACACAUCCUACUUCAUGCUGCAUCUCUCCAUGUUGUCUGUUACACCACUGCUGAACCUCUAUGUCACCCAUGGGGAUUGGUGCUUGCCCAGUUCCCUUUCCAUGCUAUCCCUAUUGCUAUCCAGGACAGAUUGCUCAGCAGAAAAGCAAUUCAGUCAGCUAAUGGGCUGCUAUAUGCAGCAUGCAGGUUUAUUUGUUUUGGAGAGGUGAGCCCCCCACAGCUGUCCAAGCUUGAUAGAUGACUUUGAUAGCGAUGAUGGGGGAGCCUUCAUUCUGCCAUUCUCAAAGACAUCUGUGUUCACAGAGAAAUGAGAAAGCUGGAGCUUGUUAUGUACCAUCUACAGUUAGAAGAGCUAUCUACAUGUUUGAUUGAAAAUGCUACCACAUAACAUAUAUAUAAUUAUGGACUUGGUUAUAAGAGGACGUCUAAUGGAGCAGAUGUGUACAAAGGAUAUUUGACAAUAAAAACUGAACAUGGCAAGGGAGCAUGUAUGAAGGAAAGCUAUUCACUUUGAGCCAGUGGGAGCAGGCGUGCCUGAGGAACAGCGAAUGUGUGAACUGUGGUUGAAGGUGGGAAAAAAAAAAGUAAAGAAAAAUAGAUAUGGAACGUAGGUGUGUGAAGGACGUGGGAAUCAAGAUGAAAAUUACGAAUAAAUGGAGAAGUGAGUGAGACAAGGGACUUCUGUCAAUUUAUGUCAAUAGAUACACCUUUAUAUGAAAUACGACAGUGGCCCACAUCUCAUUUCCUAUAGCAGUCUUCGCUCUCCUAAGCCUUCUGUCAGAUUUACAUGCUGCACAUUACACAGGUCAUCUUCGUUUGGAAGAAGCUGUUCCUGCAACCCAAAACACAGAAGUGCUGUGUUAGACCACUUUAUCCAUUUUUCUCU